CUUGACCUCGGAUCAGGUAGGGAUACCCGCUGAACUUAAGCAUAUCAAUAAGCGGAGGAAAAGAAACCAACUGGGAUUGCCCUAGUAACGGCGAGUGAAGCGGCAACAGCUCAAAUUUGAAAUCUGGCUCUCUUUGGGGGUCCGAGUUGUAAUUUGCAGAGGGUGCUUUGGUGUUGUCGGCGGUCUAAGUUCCUUGGAACAGGACAUCACAGAGGGUGAGAAUCCCGUUUGUGGUCGCCAGCCUUCACCGUGUAAAGCCCCUUCGACGAGUCGAGUUGUUUGGGAAUGCAGCUCUAAAUGGGAGGUAAAUUUCUUCUAAAGCUAAAUACCGGCCAGAGACCGAUAGCGCACAAGUAGAGUGAUCGAAAGAUGAAAAGCACUUUGGAAAGAGAGUCAAAUAGCACGUGAAAUUGUUGAAAGGGAAGCGCUUGCAGCCAGACUUGCCCGUAGUUGCUCAUCCGGACUUUUGCCCGGAGCACUCUUCUGCGGGCAGGCCAGCAUCAGUUUGGGCGGCUGGAUAAAGGCCUCUGUCACGUAUCUCCCUUCGGGGUGACCUUAUAGGGGAGGCGUAAUGCAGUCAGCCCGGACUGAGGUCCGCGCUUUUGCUAGGAUGCUGGCGUAAUGGCUGUAAGCGGCCCGUCUUGAAACACGGACCAAGGAGUCUAACAUCUAUGCGAGUGUUUGGGUGUCAAGCCCGAGCGCGCAAUGAAAGUGAACGGAGGUGGGAACCUUCGGGUGCACCAUCGACCGAUCCUGAUGUCUUCGGAUGGAUUUGAGUAAGAGCAUAGCUGUUGGGACCCGAAAGAUGGUGAACUAUGCUUGAAUAGGGUGAAGCCAGAGGAAACUCUGGUGGAGGCUCGCAGCGGUUCUGACGUGCAAAUCGAUCGUCAAAUUUGGGCAUAGGGGCGAAAGACUAAUCGAACUAUCUAGUAGCUGGUUCCUGCCG
rnacentral:rRNA from 1 species